AAUUUACCCAGGGCUUUCCCAUCUACUGUAUUCUAUCAUCAUCAUGGUACGAUUCUUUGAGUGAAAGAAAUCAAAACCGCAUAACACACGGCAAUUUCGCUUCUCUUCCUAAAAUUUCUCUCAAAUUUCAACUUCUUGCCGUCAUUCAUGAAUCACGAUUUGGUACUUUUAUUGAUUACCACAAAGGUUUUCCUAAUUUUCUCAUUUCUCACUCAAAUCGUCGUGGAUUAUGGCCCUGGUUUUCCGAUUUGAUUUAAUGUGUGACAAAGCUUCCAUAUAUAGGACGUUCCACCCAGCUGGACCUAAAAGUCCGUUGAUAACUCUGUGGUGGGAGGGAUACAUGAAGGAUUAAAUUCCUUUCUUUGAAGCUUACAACUGCAAAGUAUCUUAUUAUGACUUCAAUUCAGAGACAGAUGCUUUAGAAACAAUGCAGGCAGUUUUAAAUUUGACACAGCAAGCUACAUCCUCAUUUUCAUCAGUGAUCUUCUCGCUUCAUCCUUUAUCUAAGGCAUG